rnacentral:lncRNA from 1 species
UUCCAGGGAGAAGGGUGUCAACAUAAAAGGAUACUUUGCAUGGGCUCUUGGAGAUAAUUAUGAAUUCUGCAAAGGUUUUACCGUUAGAUUCGGACUUAGUUACGUUAACUGGACAGACCUCAAUGAUAGAAAUCUCAAAAAAUCUGGCAAAUGGUACCAAAGCUUUAUUAACGGUACCACUAAGAACCCUGCCAAACAAGAUUUCCGCCGCCCAAACCUCUCCCUCCGCAACCAGAAGAAGAACCUCGCAGAUGCAUGAAACACUUUAUCCCACCUUCAUGAUCAUCUUCAUAUCUCUACUACUUGCUUCAUAGAAAAGGGGCUUAUUGUACUAAAUAAAUAUUCCAAUAAAAGAUGAUCAUUUUUACUAAUGAAUAUUUUAGUUUGAGUUCAAUCCCUUCUUACCGCUUCAGUUACGUUUUACUUUGGAUGAUUAGUGAUGUAGAGUGAGCUACGAUGACACUAGAAUAUUCUUUAGUCAGAGAAUUCCUAUGAUGAAUGUCUUAUUUUAAUCGUUGAAAACACCAAGGAUUAAAGAACACCAAUGUAGUGAAGAUGGACGUUUAAGGGGAGAAGGAGGCUGAAGUGGAGGAUGAGAUUGAACUGAAAAUGAAGGUUGCAUGGGAGGUUCAAGAGGCAAAGGGUGAUACAAAAUGUUGUAGAUCAAAUGUUAGUAAACCCGCAUGAAGCAAAAUUACUGGCUCUCCCUCACGGUUUGCGAUCUUUGAAGAAGAUGAAGGAGAAGGAAAUAGUUUGGCAGUACAAAUAGACACAGAUAGUUAUUCAAAUUUCCACUUAACUUGAAAGAGAAGAAGGGGAGACUGAACAUGUGUCAGUCAGUCAAACGAUGGAGGAAGAAAUCCAAAAGGAGAAACACGAGGAGAAACAGCUUAUCUCAUAUUUUCAUCGAAAUGUAAAAACAAAAAAUUCAGAUUGUUUUGAUUCAAACACUGCAAAUGCAAAGGAUCUAGCUCCUAGCGUAGCAGGUAGAAGAAGAAUCACCCAGAAGAAAUAAUCAUGUCAGCUUUGUGUUGGGUUCCUCCUAGUGGGGAAACCCAAUGGUGUGAUUGUGGUGAAAAUGAGAAGUUAAUCUAGAGGAUCAAAGUGACCACUUGAGAAAUUCAUCUUGAGCAAACUUUGAUGCUCUAGGUAACACAAUCACAUAUUUUAAGUUUGGGCCAAUGAUAUUUAUCCAUGAGAUGGUAUUGGGCAUUGGUGGGUUAGUGAGACAGGACUAUAUAACCUAAUUUUGUGGUAAGCUAAGCAAAAAGAAAGCAAGAACUAAGAAAAGGAAGCACAAGAGAGAAAGGAGAUAAAGAGGAAAGUCGUCUUGGUUUGUCAAGGCAGGGUUUGGAGGGUCAAACGGAUCCUGAUCUGGCUGAUACUUUGUGGGAAGCUUCGUCAUUCAGUUGGUUAGAGGUUCACCAAAGGGAUUUGGAUUUCAACGGUUGGAUCUUCUGAGAUAUGGGUUUUAGUGAAGCUGGUUGUCAGUAUUUUUCAGCAGUUCUGUCUUGAGUGUUUGGUAAAUUUGACGGUGAGGUCUUCUCUGUUUUGAGCUGGGAUUUGGCAGAGGUACUACUGGGUUGUUGCUGCUGGUCUUGAAGCUUUGUGUUGCUCUCUUGUGGUUGUGUUCUUGUGUUGGAGAUAGCUUUUGUAGCUGAGUCUCUGUUCUGUUCAGGUUGUUGAACAGGGAGGACGUGGUUGUACUCACAUACAUUUAUAUAGUGGAUUGUUGAGUGGACUACGGUCCCGUGGUUUUUUUCUUCUCACAUCGAGUAGGUUUUCUACGUAAAAAGUGUUUGUCUCAUUUAGUUAUUGCUUAUACUAUAUCCUGCUAUCUUCGAAGUAUUUUCCUCUCAGAUUCUCACAAGGUCAGGGGGAACACGAUAGUACAUUCCGCUGCACUGUGUGUUUUAACCCCAUCAAAGUGGUAUCAGAGCUUUUGGUUUUAGAGCUUUGGGGUUGAUAACUUCGGGUUAUGGUUGCUUGUGAGAAUGAUGGAAAAUACGAGCAGGGUGAUAAGCUUGAAUGGUGCUAAAUAUCAUCUAUGGAAGGGUAAGAUGGAGGAUUUUCUCUUUGUUAAAGAAUUCCAUUUUCAAGUCUUCGAGGAGAAGAAAUCUGAGAAGAAGACGGAUAAAGAGUGGAAGCUUCUGCAUCGCCAAGUGUGUGGGUUGAUAAGGCAGUGGGUAGAUGAUAAUGUGUUGCAUCAUAUUGAGACUGAGACGGAUGCUCGUUCUUUGUGGAAGAAGCUGGAGCAGUUGUAUGCAAGGAAGACCGGAAACAACAAGAUGUACAUGAUCAAGAAGUUGAUUGAGCUGAGGUAUCAGGAGGAAACUCCGAUGACGGGUCACUUGAAUCGUUUUAGGGAUUGCUCAACAAGCUGUCUGAUAUGGGCAUCAAGUUUGAUGAUGAGAUUCACGGUCUAUGGCUUCUCGGUACUUUACUGGAUUCUUGAGAGGUUUUUAGGAUGUCUCUUUGUAACUCCGUGUCGGAAGGUGUUAUUUCGAUGGAUUCAGUGAAGAACAGUGUUCUUAAUGAGGAAGCAAGAAGACAGUCGAACGCUAGCAGUUCGUGUUCAGAUGUCUUUGUUACUGAGUCAAGGGGGAGGAGUUCGAGUAGAGAUCCCAGAGAGACAAGAACAGGAGCAGGAGAAAAUCUAAUAAAUUUGCUAACAUGGAGUGCUAUUUCUGUCACAAGAAAGGGCACAUGAAGAAGGAUUGUUGGAAGUUGAAAAACAAGCAGCAAGGAAAUCAAGAAGAAAAAGUGGAUCGGGUGACUGUCACCGAAGAUCAGUUUUUCAUUCUUCUUGAGGGUGAUGCCAUUAAUGUUGCAUGCCAAAACACCAGUUGGGUGAUUGAUAGUGGAGCUACUACUCAUGCAACAUCACAGCGGGAUUUGUUUUCUACCUAUACUACGGGUAAUUAUGGUUCCGUGAAGAUGGGAAAUGAUGCAAUGGCUCAGGUUGCUGGCAUUGGCGAUAUAUGCUUGGAGACUAGUCUUGGGACUAGGUUGAUGCUUAAGGAUGUUAAGCAUGUCCCUGAUAUUAGGAUGAAUCUGAUAUCAACGGGAAGGCUUGAUGAUGAGGGUUAUUUCAGUUUGCACGGUGGUGGUAAAUGGAAGCUCUCUCGCGGUGCUUUGAUUGUGGCUCGAGGUGAGAAAUCCUCAUCCUUCUAUUAGAUGCAGGCUAAGGUCUCCAAAGACGCUGUUAAUGCGGUGGAGAAUGAUGGUGCCAUGGAGUUAUGGCAUAAGAGACUCGGUCACAUGAGUGAGAAGGGAAUGUCUGUGUUGUCUAAGAAUGAGGUGAUUCCAGGAAUCUGUGGUUUGCACCUGCAGAAGUGAUCGCAUUGCUUUGCGGGAAAACAACACAAGGUGUCUUUCAAGUCUUAUGCGCCUUCUAGGAAACCCGAGGUACUCGAUUUGGUACAUUCAGAUGUGUGUGGUCCAAUGAAGACAAGAUCCAUUUGCAGCGCAUCAUAUUUUGUGACUUUCAUUGAUGAUCAUUCAAGGAAGUUGUGGUUAUUUCCUAUGAGGACGAAGGAUCAGGUGCUGGGAUAUUUCAACCAUUUUGUGGCGUUGGUAGAGAGACAAACGGGAAAGAAGCUGAAGUGUAUCCGCAGUGAUAAUUGUGGAGAGUAUUCUGGACCAUUUGAUGCUUAUUGUAAAGAGCAUGGAAUAAGACAUCAGUUCACGCCACCAUGAUGAUCUAAUUAGGAUUUAGUACUCCCGGUGAAGAAACCCGUGAGAAAGCUGUUGCUGAUUCCAAGCGGAUCGAUUAUCUCUGCAGUCAUCUAUGUUUUCUCCGCAAGGUCAUCAGGUGAGUGGAAGCUACUUUAUUUUUUUCUCUUUUGAAUUUGAUGUAUGGUCAUCAUCAUGCACAUGCUUUGAAUUAUGUUUUUUUUUUCUGUUUCCAGGGAGAAGGGUGUCAACAUAAAAGGAUACUUUGCAUGGGCUCUUGGAGAUAAUUAUGAAUUCUGCAAAGGUUUUACCGUUAGAUUCGGACUUAGUUACGUUAACUGGACAGACCUCAAUGAUAGAAAUCUCAAAAAAUCUGGCAAAUGGUACCAAAGCUUUAUUAACGGUACCACUAAGAACCCUGCCAAACAAGAUUUCUGCCCCCCAAACCUCUCCUUCCAGAACCAGAAGAAGAAGCUCUCAGAUGCAUGAAACACUUUAUCCCAC